rnacentral:lncRNA from 1 species
UCUUACACAGUUCAGACUUGUAUGCAAAUUUUGCUUGUCCGACGUGCUUCAGUUCCCCUUUUCUCUUCAGGAAUCCCAGCCUGCAACCUCCACUAUUUGUUGAAUACAAAUGGCUGAAGGUUGCGUCUGCGAAAUGGAGUGGCGGUUCAGAGCUAGAGACUAGUUGUAAAAAGCAUUGUGUUCUAUUUAAACAUUGAAGGAGUCCAAUUCAGCUACAGGUUCUAGAACCGACGAAAUAUGAAUCUAAGAACAAAGAACUUGGUUGUAUCGUUUGCAUGAUGGGCUGUCAUUUCAAAAAGGAACCAAAGACAGAAUUAAAGGGGUGGGCAUGUGCCAUACCUGACUCCACAGAGGAGGAAAGCAAUUCGGCACAGAAACAAUUUAUGGAGGAAAUACAGACGCGAUCCUUGUAUUACCAACUGGAAUUUGUACAAGAAGCAGAGAAAUUUGUGUACUUCACUUAGACGGAAGUCAAUAGCUAAUUACUUUCAUCAGAAAGCAGACCAGUGUUCUUCUAAGCCAUAAGAUUUCUGGAAAUUCGUUGAUUCUCUUUUUCAUUCUAAGAAGGGUCAAGCAAAUGACAAUGUUUUACAAGAAAAUAAUGACUUUAUUACAGAUAAGUCUAUCAUAGCUAAGUUAUUUAAUGAAUACUUUACUAGUAUUUGUGAUAAUUUUCCUUUACCGAAUAAGGAUAUCUAUGGUUCUGAUUUUUCAAGCCAUCCUAGUAUCCUAACCAUUAACAGCUUUAUGUCUACAAUUAAGGAUCAGAAUGAUCAGGACAAUCAAUUUAGUUUACAUCCCACUUGCGCUUUCACUGUUACUGAUAUAGUUCUCUCUCUUUCUUCUUCGAAAUCGUCAGGUUAUGAUAAUAUCCCUAUUCGCCUCGUUAAAGAUAGUAUUCCCCCUAUUUCCCAAGUUCUAUCUAAUUUAUUUAAUUAUUCUACUGCUACAUGUACCUUUCCUACUUGUUGGAAAUUGGGCCAAGUCACACCUGUAUUUAAAAAGAGUAUUGAAUAUUCUAAAAGUAAUUAUAGACCUAUUACUACUUUAGCCACUUUUGGCAGUAUAUUUGAACGAAUCAUUGCUGGUCAGUUGAACAAUUUCUUUAGUGACAAGCUGUUCCAAUUUUUAUCAGCCUAUCGUCACCAUUACAGCUGUGAGACUACUUUGAUAAUUUAUUGGAAGAGUUUCGAAAUGGUCUGGACAAACAACAUUUCGCUUCUAGUAUUGGUAUUGAUCUGUUCAAGGCCUUCGACAGCUUGCCACAUGAUUUAAUUUUAGCCAAACUCGCUGCCUAUGGUAUAUCAUCCAAAAGUUGUGCAUUUAUAGGUAAUUACCUAACUGAUCGCUUACAGAGAGUAAAAUUAGGCGAUCAAUUUUCAGAUUGGAGUCCUCCUCUUAGACGAAUUCCUCAAGGGUCUGUAUUAGGUCCCCUUCUUUUUAAUAUUUACCUAAUUUAUUUAUUAUUAUAUAGUCUUCAGUCCAAAAUAAGUUCAUUUGCCGAUGAUACUCAGGUCUUUGAUAUUAAUAACAAUGUUUCCCUAUUACAUGGACACCUACAAACUGAUCUUGUCACUGCUCAUUCUUGGUUUUGCUCUAAUGGCCUUGUGAUGAAUCCAGAUAAAUGUAUUACCAUGUGGCUGGGUAAGAGUAAUGACACUACUAUACCCUGUUUUUCCAUUGGGAGUCAGGAGAUCAGUUUUGUGGGGGGGGGGGGUGGGGGUAUAAGCUAUUGGGUGUAACCACUGAUCAUGACUUAAAGUUUAAUGAACAUAUAGGUAACAUAGCACGGAAAGUUAGCAAGCAAAUUCAAGUCUUACAAAGACAUAAGAAAUUAAUUAACGUCCAUGCCAAGGUUAAAUUAUUUAAUGCUUAUCUUUUGCCUCAUUUAAAUUAUUGUUCUAUUGUAUGGCAUCAUUGCGGAAAAGGUAAUUCCAACAAAUUGGAACAACUUAAUGUACGUGCGUUGCUCUUUAUUUACAAUGAUGAUAAAAGCUCGUAUGAGGAAUUAUUAUUGCGUAUUAAGCAUCCUACUUUGUAUAAUAGAAGAAUUCAUAAUAUUUUAACACUGGUAUUUAAAGCUUUGCAUGGGUUGGUUCCAGAAUAUAUCUCUAGGUUAUUUACUUUACGCAACUGCAAGAUUAAUCUGAGGGGGGAUAAUAUUCUUAUGAUACCUAGGGUUAAUACCACUAGCUAUGGCCUCCACUCAUUGGCCUAUCAGGGUAGUAAGCUAUGGAACUCUCUUCCCAAUAACAUAAGACUGCUACACGAAUUAAGUCAAUUUAAAUCCGAAAUUUCUAAAUUGAAAUUCGACCUUUAGAAUAAAUUUUAAUUAGUUUUUAUCUUGUUUAGAAAUUAUAUUACAAUAUC